rnacentral:rRNA from 1 species
UACAGAGGUGGCAAGCGUUGUUCGGAAUUACUGGGCGUAAAGGGCGCGAGUAGGCGGUUCGGAUAAGUCCCGUGUGAAACUCCCUCGGCUACAACCUGGAGGAACUGCACGGGAAACUGACGGGCUUGGAGUUCGGGAGAGGGAAGCGGAAUUCCGGGUGUAGCGGUGAAAUGCGUAGAUAGUCCGGAGGAACGACCGGUGGCGAAGGCGGCUUCCUGGACCGACACUGACGCUGAGGCGCGAAAGCUGGGGGAGCAAACGGG